rnacentral:rRNA from 1 species
UGCAAGUCGAUCGGUAACAGGUGUAGCAAUACAUGCUGACGAGAGGCGGACGGGUGAGGAACGCUUGGGAAUCUGCCUAUCAGCGGGGGACAACCCGGGGAAACCCGGGCUAAUACCGCAUACGCUCUACGGAGGAAAGCCGGGGACCGCAAGGCCUGGCACUGAUAGAUGAGCCCAAGUCGGAUUAGCUAGUUGGCGGGGUAACGGCCCACCAAGGCGACGAUCCGUAGCUGGUCUGAGAGGACGAUCAGCCACACCGGAACUGAGACACGGUCCGGACUCCUACGGGAGGCAGCAGUGGGGAAUAUUGGACAAUGGGCGAAAGCCUGAUCCAGCGACGCCGCGUGGGUGAAGAAGGCCUGCGGGUUGUAAAGCCCUUUCGGUAGGGACGAAAGCUCUUGCUCUAACAAAGCAGGAGGGUGACUUAACCUACAUAAGAAGCACCGGCUAACUCUGUGCCAGCAGCCGCGGUAAUACAGAGGGUGCGAGCGUUAAUCGGAAUUACUGGGCGUAAAGCGCACGUAGUCGGCUUGUCAAGUCGGGUGUGAAAUCCCCGGGCUCAACCUGGGAACUGCAUCCGAGACUGACUUGCUAGAGUAUGGGAGAGGGAAGCGGAAUUUCUGGUGUAGCAGUGAAAUGCGUAGAUAUCAGAAGGAACAUCAGUGGCGAAGGCGGCUUCCUGGACCAAUACUGACGAUCA